GCGAAGGUGGCGGAACUGGUAGACGCGCAGGAUUCAGGUUUCUGUGUCCAUUGGAUGUAGGGGUUCGAGUCCCCUCCUUCGCA
rnacentral:tRNA from 1 species